AACGAACGCUGGCGGCAUGCCUAACACAUGCAAGUCGAACGCCCCGCAAGGGGAGUGGCGAACGGGUGAGUAACGCGUGGGAACCUACCCAGCAGUUGGGGAUAACCGCGGGAAACUGCGGCUAAUACCGAAUACGUCCUAAGGGAGAAAGAUUUAUCGCUGUUGGAGGGGCCCGCGUCGGAUUAGCUAGUUGGUGAGGUAACGGCUCACCAAGGCGACGAUCCGUAGCUGGUCUGAGAGGAUGAUCAGCCACACUGGGACUUAGACACGGCCCAGACUCCUACGGGAGGCAGCAGUGGGGAAUAUUGGACAAUGGGCGCAAGCCUGAUCCAGCCAUGCCGCGUGUGUGAAGAAGGCCUUCGGAUUGUAAAGCACUUUCAGCGAGGAGGAAGGGUGGUGUGUUAAUAGCACAUCAUUUUGACGUUACUCGCAGAAGAAGCACCGGCUAACUCUGUGCCAGCAGCCGCGGUAAGAC
rnacentral:rRNA from 1 species